GUCAGGAUGGCCGAGUGGUCUAAGGCGCCAGACUCAAGUUCUGGUCUCCAUAUGGAGGCGUGGGUUCGAAUCCCACUUCUGACA
rnacentral:tRNA from 4 species